CGCCCCCGGACCCGGCGCCGCCAGCCAUCUGCUGCUCCGACACCUCCGCUGCAGUCCCCAGAAGCUGCAGCCCACGCGGCGCCCUACGGAAAUCCUAGCAAUUGCAGUGGCCGCCCCAAAUGGCCGCAACUCGCAGCAUUGCACUGGCAGCCCUCAGGAGCUGUGCCGCAGUGGAAGGCAGGCGUGUUAGCUGAGCAGCCUCCUGCAUGGGCCAGUGUCCACCACCCACCGUCGAGCGCAACCCAGCUGCUGCACUCCUGCUGUCCUCAGGCCACCACAAUGAGGUGGCUAUGAGAGAGAUACCUCAGCUGCUAGUGUCUACUAACAGCACUUACAUCCUGUGCAACACUGUGAACACCACAGAAGCUGCUCUGGCAGACUGCACAGUAAUUGGUGCUGAAAUGACCCGAGUCCCCUAAUAUGACAGUGUGCAAUGUGACACCAGUGAAGGCCAUCCACAGAACCAUUCUUAUGAAUCCAAUAUAGCCUUCAGGGAAGUACUGUGUAAAGUUGGGGUCAAAAGCAUCAUUGCUGAUAAUCUGAGGUGACAAGUCACUUUUCAGGAAUGUACCAUAACCUCCAUGGUUUCUACUCCCCAGUUUCAUUCUCUAUAGGAUAAAUUUUCAUCAUCAUUAUGAUGACCCCAAGCAGAGAGUUGUUAUCUAGGCAGAUAUCUGACACCAAGUGACUUCUUUACAACAGGCAACAUUAAAGAGGUGCUUCAAGUGGAGCUUACCAGAGACUUGUCUCAAUAAGCUGUGAGCUCCUCACCCUGUUCCAAUGCACUUACAAAAUGUUAAUGGCAGAACCAUUGCCCAAAUAUCAAGAAACACAAAUGUGGCUGAUAGCUUUCAUAUACUUAGUCACAAUUUGGCAGUGAACGCCCACUCCAUACAGCAACUCUAAACAUUACGAAGCAGUCAGCAGAAGUUAUUAGUAUAUCUGUGAAACAUAAGACAAUUAAUAGGAAAGAAAGUAUACAAUGUAUCCUAGUUCUAUUGCCAAAAUACAGAAAAAGUCAUAAAGUUUUAAAUAAUAUAUGUUAUACAUGUUCAGUGCAUCCAUCCUUGAAUGUGCAGCAGACAUCUGCAUGGAGAUCUAUUUCAUUCCAGUCAUGUCCUAUUAUAGCAAUGUCAGUGUGAUAAUCAGCUGUGGUGAUAAGGUUGCAAAUAACAUGGAAAUUUGUGGGCUAUGGCAGUAGAAAUAUGGUGUCCUUCAGGAAUCAACUGAGGAAGAAGUCACAGGGGUUUCAGCCAUGGUACUGGAGCCCCACUACAUUACUGUUUGUCCACUGUGCCCAUCUGCCUCUGUUGCAGUAAGCCAGUACCUGUCACGUUAGUAGAUAUAGCCAUUACUAUCUUCAUUCAGCUAUGGCAUUAGUCAGUUCCCAAACUUAUCCAAAUGAAUCACUAUAUAAUCACAGGCAUAUGAAUGAAUAAUGGUCUGUAGAUCUUUUUUUGAAUGACACAUGAAAUAUAAAUCCUGGGUGACUUUUCCACAUGUUGUGUGGUUCCAUAAGAAUUUUUGUCUCUUAGAUGCCCAUAUUCCGACAAUUUACCUUCCCAGACAGAUAGCAUGUUGGUUGUUCUUGAAUACAACUAUAUCCCCAAAACUUUCAGUUACAAACCACCCACACAUUUGAAUUGCAGGAAUUCAGAUGCACAAUUUUCAUCUUUUUUGCAGCACCAUACAUCUACCAGUUUUCUACUCACACAUCAAGCUCAAAAGCUGGAGCUGUGGAGGGUAGGCUGGUAAAUUUCCCUUUCACACUAUAUCACUUCCUUGCUCAAUCCUGUACAUACCACAAAAACUUGCACAUGCCUUAGAAUAUCAUGUAACACUUUUUUGUACGGGAGAAUACAGUUGCUACAUUUCAGAAGUCUGUUCAAAUCAUCUCAGUGCAGUCAAUACAGAUGAAGUUCCCUCAUAUACCAUAACAAAAAAUGCUUUCUAAUUCUUAUUGAAACCACAUUUGAUAUUGAUGUACCUAGUUCAAAGUGUGGCAGCUUAGCUCACCUCCCAACAUUUCUAAAAAAACUGGAUAAGUUUUCUGUAUAGUUGUACAAGGCUUAUUGUGAGCCAUUGAGUGAUUUGUGUGUUUCAUAUUUCUGAACCAUUUUGCAAUUUUCAAUGAAUGUGUUCUUUUGUGUGCCAUAACUAGUGGUAAGUUGCAAGUGGAAAUUGAUUUUCUCUUGUGAUUGCAAUAUAGAGAAACCAGCGGAAAGUCAAUCUGUUGUGGACCACUUAAAUGAAAGAUCAUUGCACACAUUCACCCACAUCUGGAUCAUAACUUUAACUUGCCAAAACGUUCACAUCAUUUUAGUAGACAGCACCAAAUCAAAUAAUUUUGAUGAUGCAAUACUGCACUCAGCAAUGUCACUAGAGACCAUGUAUUAAAAAAAAAAAAGAUUAUGGCAUUGGUUCCCAAACUUCUUUCCUUCUCUCUCUACCAGUCUGUCCUGUGUAAAUAUAACAACUGCAAACAAUAUCCACCUGAACCUGUUUACUGAAUUGCAACCUUGCUCUCUGUCUAUAAUUUUUGUACUCCCCUCCCCCUUUUCCCCCCACCACCACCCAGUUAUCAGGUCAACUUAUCAGGAUGCAUCCUAUGAACUGAUUGACCCCUCCUAUUAGUCAAUCUGUGCCACAAAGUACUUUGCUCUCCAGUUCAAUUCACUAUGUGUUCAUUAGCAUACUUCUGUAUCACCUCAUUCCCCAAGUUUCUCUUCUCUUCCCGUCUACACAGUUUAUUGUCCACUUUUCACUUGAAUUGCGUCUACAAUCCAAUUAUUAUUUUCCAGAUAAAACUCUGUAAUCAGUGUGUAUUUGUCACUAAAUUAUUUUUCAGAUAUUGUCUUUACUUCUGCUAUCACUAGUUAUUUGUUUCCCUAAGUAGCAAAAUUAAUCUGCUACUUUAAGUCUCUCACUUUCCAAUUUGCUCAGCUUCACCUGCAUUGAUUCAAUUACACUCUCUUAUCCUUAUCUUACUUUUGGUGACAUCCAUCUUACAACCUUGUUUCAAGAUGCUAUCCUCCCCAUACAGCUGCUCUUCCAAAUUCUUUACUGCCUUUCAUGGAAAUACCAAGUCACAGACAAAUCUCAUAGUUGUUAUUUCUUAUCCCUGAAAUUUAAUACCUUGACCAAAUUCUUCUUGAUUUCCUUUACUCAAAGUACAGUCUGAAUAACACAGGGGAUGGGAUAGAACCCUGUCUGACACCCUCCUCAAAUGCUGCUUCCUUUCUGUGUGCUUUGAUUCUUAUAACUGCAAUCUCAUUUCUAUAUAUGUUAUAGAUAACAUUUUUUUAAAAGAAUGUAUUCUACUCAGCAUUGUCAAAAACUUUUUCUAAACUUACAAAUGCUAUAAUGGUGGUUUGUCUUCUGUUAGCUUAUCUUUUAAGAUGAGGCAUAGGGUCAAUGUUGCCUCACAUGUUCCUUCAUUUCUCCAUAGCUGAAAUUGAUCUUACCCUAAGUCAGCUUGUACCAAUCUUUCCAUACUCCUGUAGAUAACCCAUGUUAGCAUUUAAUAUGCAUUACCUAAUCGACUGAUGGUUCAGUUAAUAUUCACACUUGUCAGCUCAGGGAACCUGUCAUAAACAAGUCUCCUUCACCACAAAUCUAUCCAAACCUUUAAGAGAAAGUCCAUUGUUGCUGUAAUUUUCAUGGAAACUCCAAGAAAAUUAUUUUUACAUUAUUUCAUCCAUUUUAUGACCUGGUUUUUAUCUAUUUUAAAUAUAAUCUUUACUUCAUUUCCAGGACCUAAGUUAGUGUGGAAUUUAUAGUUUACUUCAAACCUCUGGCACACAUUACAUUUUAGGAAGGAAUUGGUUGUGCAGGGCCAUUUACAAUCACACUAAUUCUGCUGAAAGAUUCUGACAGAAGAACAAAGUGUGUGAACUUAGAACCAACAGUAUUGAUUGUAUAGGCAGUAAACUGUGCUAGUUAAAGGAUAGCUGGGUGUCUACAGCUCCAGAAUGAUUGAUCUGGUGACUUUUGUUAUUUCAAGACUAUGUUGUGUAUGUUGCACCUGGAAGUUGUGAUUCCAAGAGCAUUGGGACUGAUCAUUAAGAGGCUAGAGAGUAGGAUUUUGUACAAUUUGACAGUUCACUGAAAAGUGGCCCAUGUCAUCAGAAAAUCAAUUAUGCCACAGAAUAACGAUAAGAUACAGUUGAAAUCUAUAAUUUUUAUAUUGCACCCAUGUAAAUAGGACAUUCAUAUGUUGGUGACACAAAUUUAAUAGUACCAGUAUGUUUGCAAAAGAAAUUUUAAAAGUAACAUGCAACAAGCAUUUUUCCCGUAAAUGCGCAGAAAAGUGAGAGGUUAUUUUUAACACUGGAAACACAUUUUUUGACUGAAUAGUUAGUUUUUCAUACGCUGCUAACAAUUCAGUUGAAUUAUUAAUUUGUAUGUUGGUGAAGUACUGUUCACAUUACAAGCAUUCAUUCCUCAACUAAGUGAAGAAUGGUCCACAGCAAUCUUCUGUAUGGACAAUAGUCACACAUUUGUUUAAAUAAUGGCAUCGACCAAAUCCUGGACAACAACAACUCUACUUGACAGUGUAAUAUGUACCUAGUUGUUAAAUACUAUUUUUCAAUAUUGGAAAAGAAAUCCAUUGUCCUGUAUUCAUGCAAAAUUUCUGUGCAGACAUCAUCAUGAUGUUGCAAGGACUUUUUAAAUACUUUCAUAAAUGUUUCUAUCUCUUUUUUUCUUUCAAUUUAUUUCUUCAUUAAUUUUAUUUUCAUACUGUAUAGCAUCCUUAGGAUCAAUGGACAUGUAAUUUAUUGUCUACAGUCUGUUACUCUCUUAGCCCUUUUCAUUCUUCAAAUUUUCUUUGUGUCAACAGUUUAAUCUCAUCAAUGGAAACCCUUUCAGGAGCUUAAGAACUGAAGACUGUUGACUCACACAAGAUGGGCUCACUGAAAAUUGAUCCUAAUAUGAGGAGCAAAAGGCAUUUGAGGAAUGACACAGUCUAACAGUUUUGAAGAUUUUUUUUUUUUUUUUUGUUACACAACAACAGUCACCAAAGGCUACAAAACAUAGACAUUGUCCACCUAGCAAUUUCUGAUCUCACCCCAUCCCAUUUUUCUGCUACCCUUUCCCUGUAUUUUAUAUACCGUAUUAUAAUGAUCAUGGUUAGCAAUACGAACAUGUCUAACAGAAAACUUUCUCAUUCAAACCAACCUUCAGACUGAUUACUGCUACAUUUUACUCUCAUUCCUCUAAGGAAAAUUUGGUGCAUUUCAAGAGGCUGUAAGUUAAUGGAAUAAAUUGGUCAGGUUAAAUAAAUAAUGCUUAGGUAGGAACAGCCACUGGAUUCAAUAAAAAAAGUAAAUCUGUGGGUGAUAUUGGCUACUUUUCCAUCAGACCCCUUAUUUGAUGUUAUGUAUACCCUGUGGAGCUGCCUGUAGUGAUGCCUCUUUCCUAAAAUUAAAUUUUAUGAUACAUCACAUACUUUUACCAACAUGAAAAAGCAGCUCAAUUUAGAUCCUCUGCUGACUGAGAAAUUAUUUAGCACUAUAACUAUGGAGUCACAUCAGUUUGUAUGAUAGGGAACAGUAGGACUAUGUUAUGAUGAUAACUGUCUUUACUUAUUGUCCUGUUUUCUGACACAAGCUUUGAAUUUCAUGAAUGAAACUGUUUCUUUAAUGUGAUCUGAAUACGCUUAUACUCUGGAUUUUGUUAACGUCUUUUUUAUGUAUUUGUGUGUAUGAUUUUGUACAGUGUAUGUAAUGCCUAAAUAAAAGAUGUUUUCUGUAUA